rnacentral:rRNA from 1 species
CAGCAGCCACGGGAAUACGUAGGGUGCGAGCGUUAAUCGGAAUUACUGGGCGUAAAGCGUGCGCAGGCGGUUUUGUAAGACAGGCGUGAAAUCCCCGGGCUCAACCUGGGAAUGGCGCUUGUGACUGCAAAGCUAGAGUGCGGCAGAGGGGGAUGGAAUUCCGCGUGUAGCAGUGAAAUGCGUAGAUAUGCGGAGGAACACCGAUGGCGAAGGCAAUCCCCUGGGCCUGCACUGACGCUCAUGCACGAAAGCGUGGGGAGCAAACAGGAUUAGAUACCCGCGUAGUCCCUGUCUCUUAUAC